UACGAAGGGGGCUAGCGUUGCUCGGAAUCACUGGGCGUAAAGGGUGCGUAGGCGGAUCUUUAAGUCAGGGGUGAAAUCCCGAGGCUCAACCUCGGAACUGCCUUUGAUACUGGGGAUCUCGAGUCCGGGAGAGGUGAGUGGAACUGCGAGUGUAGAGGUGAAAUUCGUAGAUAUUCGCAAGAACACCAGUGGCGAAGGCGGCUCACUGGCCCGGUACUGACGCUGAGGUGCGAAAGCGUGGGGAGCAAACAGG
rnacentral:rRNA from 1 species